CGGAGAGGGCGCCUGAGAAACGGCUACCACUUCUAAGGAAGGCAGCAGGCGCGCAAAUUACCCAAUCCUGACUCAGGGAGGUAGUGACAAGAAAUAACAAUAAACCGGCUUAUGCCGGUUUAAUUGGAAUGAGUACAAUUUAAACAUCUUAACGAGGAACAAUUGGAGGGCAAGUCUGGUGCCAGCAGCCGCGGUAAUUCCAGCUCCAAUAGCGUAUACUAAAGUUGUUGCAGUUAAAAAGCUCGUAGUUGGAUUUCUGCGGGGACGGAGCGGCCGGACGCAACUUGCGUCUCGAGCUAGCGCUUUCCCCGCAUCCUGCCGCGAACCGUGCUACCAUUAGCUUGGUGGCGCUGGGGAUCGGCUCGAUUACUUUGAGAAAAAUAGAGUGUUCAAAGCAGGCCACACGCCUUGAAUAAGUUAGCAUGGAAUAAUGACUAAGGACUUCGGUUCUAUUUGUUGGUGUUCGGGACUGAAGUAAUGAUUGAUAGGGACAGUUGGGGCGGUCUGUAUUCCAAAGCGAGAGGUGAAAUUCUUAGACCUUCGGAAGACAAACAGCUGCGAAAGCGUUCCGCAAGGAUGUUCCCUUUGAUCAAGAACGAAAGUUGGGGGAUCGAAGACGAUCAGAUACCGUCGUAGUCUCAACUAUAAACUAUACCAGCUAGGGAUCGGUCAACGUUUAAUCAUUCGACUUGAUCGGCACCUUAUGAGAAAUCAAAGCAUCUGGGUUCCGGGGGGAGUAUGGUCGCAAGGCUGAAACUUAAAGGAAUUGACGGAAGGGCACCACCAGCCGUGGAGCCUGUGGCUUAAUUUGACUCAACACGGGAAAACUUACCAGGUCCAGACAUAGUAAGGAUUGACAGAUUGAUAGCUCUUUCUUGAUUCUGUGGGUGGUGGUGCAUGGCCGUUCUUAGUUGGUGGAGUGAUUUGUCUGGUUAAUUCCGUUAACGAACGAGACCCCAGCCUGCUAAAUAGCGCGGUUGAGCUUUGCUCGAUGCGAGCUUCUUAGAGGGACUAUGAUGCGCGAUAGCACAUGGAAGUUUGGGGCAAUAACAGGUCUGUGAUGCCCUUAGAUGUUCUGGGCCGCACACGGGCUACACUGGCGCCUGCAACGAGCAUAUCAGCUGGCCCGAGAGGGUCUUGGCUAAUCUUUUGAAUCGGCGCCGUGCUUGGGAUUGACCAUUGCAAUUGUUGGUCAUGCAACGAGGAAUGCCUUGUAAACGCGAGUCAUCAGCUCGCAUUGAAUACGUCCCUGCCCUUUGUACACACCGCCCGUCGCUCCUACCGAUGAAUGUUCCGAUGAAAUUUUCGGAGAGCGCCAGAGAACGGGGCUCUGCCUUGCAGAUCUGGAGGCUCAAAGUCACUUAAAUCUGAACAUUUCGAGGAAGGAGAAGUCGUAACAAGGUAACC
rnacentral:rRNA from 1 species